UUUCUUUUCCAGCCUUAACCUCUUUCAGUCACUACUUUUAAUAUUUCUUGUUAUUCCUAGAGUAUCCCACGUUUUCAUAUCUGAAAGAUCUAACUAACCUUGAUAGGCAAAAAGACACAGAAAUCUUCUUUUGUGUAAAUUGUAUGUAGAAAGUUACAACUACAACUGCGAGUAGGUGAGGAAAACCAGCUCCUGAGCUGGGCAGCAAAAAUCCCACCUAGCACUGAUGUAGCCUUGAAGCUUUCCCUGCUUGGACUAACUGCCUUCAGAAGUCCUUUUCAACCUCAUAGGUACAGGAUCCUGUGACCUGGAGAUGUUGGAUCCAGCCACAACAGGAGAUGCAGAUCAGAUUGUGCUGUCUUGUUACCAAAGCAUUCCAAGUAUGGGGCCAUUGACAGUGCCUGUCCCUGGAGAUGGAGAGCGAGAUGCUGAGAUGGAACAACCUUCUGUUGUCCCUGCUUGGAGAGAUGGAACAGCUUUGGAAGCAUAUGCCCGAUCCCACGUGCACUGAGACAUUUGAUUAUUAGCUGUUCAUACGACCAACUCAGAUUUUGUUCCUGUGAGAUGUCUACUAGUCCUCCUCUGUGCAAGUGAUGUCAUCGGGGAUGCCACCGUAGGAGAUCUGCGAGGGAGAGAGAAGAUGGCACCUUAGCUACAAUGUGGGGCAGAGCACUGAGAAAUUCCUCUUCUGUCUCAUCUCUGCCAUGGAUGUGGGAAAUACUCAUGGAGUUAUUGGCGGAACUGGCAUCUGACAAUAGUGCUGCCCAUAAGGACUUGGGAAAGUAUCACUGUUACUUAUUGUUGUACGGCAAAGAAUGGAGCAGGUUGGGUUAAGCCCAUUGCAAAGACCGAGCUAGUCUUAUAG
ensembl:lncRNA